AGUGAACGCUGGCGGUAAGCCUAACACAUGCAAGUCGAACGGCAGCACAGGAGAGCUUGCUCUCUGGGUGGCGAGUGGCGGACGGGUGAGGAAUACAUCGGAAUCUACUCUGUCGUGGGGGAUAACGUAGGGAAACUUACGCUAAUACCGCAUACGACCUACGGGUGAAAGCAGGGGACCUUCGGGCCUUGCGCGAUUGAAUGAGCCGAGGUCGGAUUAGCUAGUUGGCGGGGUAAAGGCCCACCAAGGCGACGAGCCGUAGCUGGUCUGAGAGGAUGAUCAGCCACACUGGAACUGAGACACGGUCCAGACUCCUACGGGAGGCAGCAGUGGGGAAUAUUGGACAAUAGGCGCAAGCCUGAUCCAGCAAUGCCGCGUGCAGGAUGAAGGCCUUCGGGUUGUAAACUGCUUUUGUACGGAACGAAAAGCCCCGGGUUAAUACCCUGGGGUCAUGACGGUACCGUAAGAAUAAGCACCGGCUAACUACGUGCCAGCAGCCGCCGCCG
rnacentral:rRNA from 1 species